CCGGCGCACGGGUGAGUAACACGUAUCCAACCUGCCGUCUACUCUUGGACAGCCUUCUGAAAGGAAGAUUAAUACAAGAUGGCAUCAUGAGUCCGCAUGUUCACAUGAUUAAAGGUAUUCCGGUAGACGAUGGGGAUGCGUUCCAUUAGGCAGUUGGCGGGGUAACGGCCCACCAAACCGACGAUGGAUAGGGGUUCUGAGAGGAAGGUCCCCCACAUUGGUACUGAGACACGGACCAA
rnacentral:rRNA from 1 species